rnacentral:rRNA from 1 species
GUGGUAUCCUGUCUGAAUAUGGGGGGCCCAUCCUCCAAGGCUAAAUACUCCUGACUGACCGAUAGUGAACCAGUACCGUGAGGGAAAGGCGAAAAGAACCCCGGCGAGGGGAGUGAAAAAGAACCUGAAACCGUGUACGUACAAGCAGUGGGAGCACGCUUAGGCGUGUGACUGCGUACCUUUUGUAUAAUGGGUCAGCGACUUAUAUUCUGUAGCAAGGUUAACCGAAUAGGGGAGCCGAAGGGAAACCGAGUCUUAACUGGGCGUUAAGUUGCAGGGUAUAGACCCGAAACCCGGUGAUCUAGCCAUGGGCAGGUUGAAGGUUGGGUAACACUAACUGGAGGACCGAACCGACUAAUGUUGAAAAAUUAGCGGAUGACUUGUGGCUGGGGGUGAAAGGCCAAUCAAACCGGGAGAUAGCUGGUUCUCCCCGAAAGCUAUUUAGGUAGCGCCUCGUGAAUUCAUCUCCGGGGGUAGAGCACUGUUUCGGCA